CGAAGCUUGCAGAAUUUGGUAUUUUCAUGUAAAAUAACAAAA
rnacentral:sRNA from 14 species